GAUGAACGCUGGCGGCGUGCUUAACACAUGCAAGUCGAACGGUGAAGCAGGAGCUUGCUCUUGUGGAUCAGUGGCGAACGGGUGAGUAACACGUGAGCAACCUGCCCCUGACUCUGGGAUAAGCGCUGGAAACGGCGUCUAAUACUGGAUGUGUGAUGUGACCGCAUGGUCUGCAGCUGGAAAGAAUUUCGGUUGGGGAUGGGCUCGCGGCCUAUCAGCUUGUUGGUGGGGUAAUGGCUCACCAAGGCGUCGACGGGUAGCCGGCCUGAGAGGGUGACCGGCCACACUGGGACUGAGACACGGCCCAGACUCCUACGGGAGGCAGCAGUGGGGAAUAUUGCACAAUGGGCGGAAGCCUGAUGCAGCAACGCCGCGUGAGGGAUGACGGCCUUCGGGUUGUAAACCUCUUUUAGCAGGGAAGAAGCGAAAGUGACGGUACCUGCAGAAAAAGCACCGGCUAACUACGUGCCAGCCGCCGCCGUAA
rnacentral:rRNA from 1 species